CUGAAAUUCAAGCCCAGCCUGGCUAACUUAGAGACUUAGCAAGAUCCCAUCCCAAAAUAAAAAAUAAUUUUAAAAGGGUUGGGAUGUACCUCGGUGCAAAGGCCUUGGAUUCAAUCCCCAAUAUGGGGUGGGGAGGGGGGGCCACAGUGCCCUGAACUAAGAAUGACUAAACAUCUCUCUUCAGCAUUUCUUUGGUAGCCAAAAAUAACCCUAUCAGUUAGGUCCUAGAGCCUCCGUUUACAGACAAGAAAGAUUGGACCUGGAAGAAUCAAUGACACACAUAGUGUGAAGUGAGGUGGAGCCAGGUUGGAGCAGCACUGACUCAGAACUGCAGGUGUCAGCCUAAAGGGACACUGUGCAUCUGGUCAGGAGUGAGGGAAGAGAGAAAUUGUAGAGAAUUGGAGGGAGGUCUAGAGCUCAAGCCUGCAGGGGCACAGCCACUCUGUCCACGUGUCUCUGUGGUAGCCCUGUCCGACCCCACACUGGAGACCACCAGUUUUUGUCUGCUUGAAGGGAAGCCCACUUAAGGUAAGGACCUGUCUCAGGGUCCCAGAAAGACCAGAAGCUCCUCUGUGAGGGGAAAUAGGGUAAGCAGAUGUGGGCAGGAGGGUGCUGUAGAACUAGUUUAUACUCAUAAAAAUCCCCAUCCCAGAAACUUUUGGGUCUCCAUAAAGGCAUUAAGUAGGAUGAUAAAAAACCUAUACUCAGGACCAUAGAGGAGUAUCCGUGACAUCACACACACACACACAGACACACACACACAUCUAUAGCUGUAAGAAUGGCCAUCAAAACAGUACUGCCUGAAGCACAGGAUUACCCCUUAUUCUGAGUGUUUUUAAAAAUUUAAUACUUUCUAUACUGAUUAGACUUUUUUUUUCUGGUACCAGUGAUCAAACUCAGGACCUUGCACUUGGGAGGCAGGCGUAGUGCCACUGAGCUAAAUCCCUGGCCCAGAUUUUUUUAAAUAAGGGAAAGAAAAAACAAUGAAAAGAAAGUCUCAGAUACAAACUAACUAUCUCCAC
rnacentral:lncRNA from 1 species